AGACUACGAGGUUGAUAGGCUAGGUGUGGAAGUGCAGCAAUGUAUGAAGCUAACUAGUACUAAUUGAUCGUGAGGCUUGACCAUAUAACACCCAA
rnacentral:rRNA from 1 species